AUGGCUUUCAUCGUGUCCAAGCUCGCGCGGGCAGCCCUCGCAUCCCGCCCCGUUGGAGAUAUUGCUGGUGUCCUCCCCCCGUGUCUCCCCCGGCUCUAUCUGCCGGCUGGUACCAGCCGUCGCAUGUUUGCAGCUGCAGGCGGUCCCAAGCCAAAAGAAGCACCUCGAAUAUAUCCCCUUGUUGAUGAGAAUUCCAUUAAGUCGAAGGAAUCCCUAUGGGCCUUGUAUGAAUGCUGGUGCAAGUAUUGGAGGGUAUCCCGUGACCGUGAAGAGAUGGUCCGCCGGUUCAAGUCAUUUGAGGCUGCUGCACUGUGGGUGUACAAAAUGAACAACUCUGGGUGUUCGCAAGUGUCUCAACUGGGCCCGUAUUCUGAUAUGUCACAGAGGGAGAUUGCUGAGCUGUUACCUCCACUUCCUGAGUAUGAUGAUGAAGACAUAGAAGAUACCUUUUUAUCAACGGAGGAGUUCUCCAAUAGCCUGGAACAUCCAGAUCAUGUGAUGGGAAGCUGCUUCGAUACGUCCUGCGUAACCCGAGAUGACGGGUUGGACAAAGAGUUAAGGGAAAACAAUGUCAACCUCAAGAAGGUGUAUAGCAUUAUUGGCAGCUCCUUCGGCUUGGUUGAGAAAUUGGCGUUCACAAAAAGAAUCCAUAGGAACAUAUGCGGCAAGAUAAGUCAUGAGCAAGCUGACGAUAAUGUGAUGAAAACGGCGGAGGUCUUCGUGGACAUUGUUGACUUUACUUACGGAGUUCUUGCUGAUAGUGAUAGUAGGGGGAAGACUUUCGAUGUAGACAAAUGGUCAAAAUCAGAUGUGAUAAAAAAUAGUUGUAGCACCAUCAUCUUGAAAGACUCCUUCAAAAACCCU
rnacentral:rRNA from 1 species